rnacentral:rRNA from 1 species
GAUGAACGCUGGCGGCGUGCCUAAUACAUGCAAGUCGAGCGAACAGACGAGGAGCUUGCUCCUCUGACGUUAGCGGCGGACGGGUGAGUAACACGUGGAUAACCUACCUAUAAGACUGGGAUAACUUCGGGAAACCGGAGCUAAUACCGGAUAAUAUAUUGAACCGCAUGGUUCAAUAGUGAAAGACGGUUUUGCUGUCACUUAUAGAUGGAUCCGCGCCGCAUUAGCUAGUUGGUAAGGUAACGGCUUACCAAGGCAACGAUGCGUAGCCGAACUGAGAGGGGGAUCGGCCACACUGGAACUGAGACACGGUCCAGACUCCUACGGGAGGCAGCAGUAGGGAAUCUUCCGCAGUGGGCGAAAGCUUGACGGAGCAACGCCGCGUGAGUGAUGAAGGUCUUCGGAUCGUAAAGCUCUGUUAUUAGGGAAGAACAAAUGUGUAAGUAACUAUGCACGUCUUGACGGUACCUAAUCAGAAAGCCCCGGCUAACUACGUG